AGCAUAUCAAUAAGCGGAGGAAAAGAAACCAACAGGGAUUGCCUCAGUAACGGCGAGUGAAGCGGCAAAAGCUCAAAUUUGAAACCCUCGGGAUUGUAAUUUGAAGAUUUGGCAUUGGAGAAAGCUAACCCAAGUUGCUUGGAAUAGUACGUCAUAGAGGGUGACAACCCCGUCUGGCUAACCGUUCUCCAUGUAUUGCCUUAUCAAAGAGUCGAGUUGUUUGGGAAUGCAGCUCAAAGUGGGUGGUAAACUCCAUCUAAAGCUAAAUACUGGUGAGAGACCGAUAGCGAACAAGUACUGUGAAGGAAAGGUGAAAAGAACUUUGAAAAGAGAGUGAAAUAGUAUGUGAAAUUGUUGAUAGGGAAGGAAAUGAGUGGAGAGUGGCCGAGGUUUCAGCCGCCCCUCGUGGGCGGUGUACUGCCGACGCCGAGUCAUCGAUAGCGAGACGAGGGUUACAAAUGGGAGCGCCUCUCGGGCGUUCUCCCCUAACCCUCCACACUGCCACCGACGACAUAAUCCACCCAUUUCACCCGUCUUGAAACACGGACCAAGGAGUCUAAUGGAUAUGUGAGUGUUAGGGUGGCAAACCCCAGCGCGCAAUGAAAGUGAAUGGAUUCGUUCAGAAUCGACCGAACUUGAUUAUUAUGACAGUUUUGAGUAAACACAUCCAUUGGGACCCGAAACUUUUUAAGCUAUGCCUGGAUAGGGUGAAGUCAGAGGAAACUCUGAGGACCUCGUAGCGGUUCUGACGUGCAAAUCGAUCGUA
rnacentral:rRNA from 1 species